rnacentral:rRNA from 1 species
AGCGAAGCGGGAAGAGCUCAAAGUUUAUAAUCUGGCACCUUCGGUGUCCAGAGUUGUAAUCAUCUAGAAAAUGUNUUCCGCAGUUGGACCGCACACAAGUCUGUUGGAAUACAGCGGCAUAGUGGUGAGACCCCCGUAUAUGGUGCGGACGCCCAGCGCUUUGUGAUACAUUUUCGAAGAGUCGAGUUGUUUGGGAAUGCAGCUCAAAUUGGGUGGUAAAUUCCAUCUAAAGCUAAAUAUUGGCGAGAGACCGAUAGCGAACAAGUACCGUGAGGGAAAGAUGAAAAGCACUUUGGAAAGAGAGUUAACAGUACGUGAAAUUGUUGGAAGGGAAACGCUUGAAGUCAGACUUGCUUGCCGAGCAAUCGGUUUGCAGGCCAGCAUCAGUUUUCCGGGAUGGAUAAUGGUAGAGAGAAGGUAGCAGUUUCGGCUGUGUUAUAGCUCUCUGCUGGAUACAUCUUGGGGGACUGAGGAACGCAGUGUGCCUUUUGGCGGGGGUUUCGACCUCUUCACACUUAGGAUGCUGGUGGAAUGGCUUUAAACGACCCGUCUUGAAACACG